rnacentral:rRNA from 1 species
CCAGACUCCUACGGGAGGCAGCAGUGAGGAAUAUUGGUCAAUGGGCGGGAGCCUGAACCAGCCAAGUCGCGUGAGGGAAGACGGUCCUAUGGAUUGUAAACCUCUUUAGGCGGGGAGCAAUGCCGGGCACGCGUGUCCGGAGGGAGAGUACCCGCAGAAUAAGCAUCGGCUAACUCCGUGCCAGCAGCCGCGGUAAUACGGAGGAUGCGAGCGUUAUCCGGAUUUACUGGGUGUAAAGGGCGUGUAGCCGGGAAGGCAAGUCAGAUGUGAAAUCCGGAGGCUCAACCUCCGAAUUGCAUUUGAAACUGUUUUUCUUGAGUACUGGAGAGGCAGACGGAAUUCCUUGUGUAGCGGUGAAAUGCGUAGAUAUUAGGAGGAACACCAGUGGCGAAGGCGGUCUGCUGGACAGCAACUGACGCUGAGGCGCGAAAGCGUGGGGAGCAAACAGGAUUAGAUACCCCAGUAAU